AAUAUGAUAAGAGGAGAAAACAUUGAGAGAGAUGUUGCCACCAUGGCCUGCAACGUGUGCUGGACGCACCAAAUGACACCAGCAAGGGGAAGUAGUCAUCCUCUGAAGGUGUCCCCUUGUCUGUAUUAGAUGUUACUGCUUCCGGUGGCCAGCAGUCAGUGGAUGGGAGCUCUAGGCUCCGGCACCACUGCUCGGCACUCUCUUUCCUACGUAGGCAGCGUGAUUGCGUUAUCACGCUGCGUGCAUCCCGGUGCCAGGCCUGGUUAGCUGAGGUGAGAUCAGCAGCCUGUGAGGAUAGCGUGGGAGCCACACAGAACAGCGGUACAGGUCUGUGAGUCUCCACCACCACUGACAUGAUCACCUCCAUCAUCAGCACCUCCCUCGACUUGAUGACCACAUCCAGUGAGGUGGUGACUUGGAUCACUACCACUAGCACCAGGGAUUAGAUGGGGAUCCGAAGUAAAGUAUCUGGUCCCAAUCCAAGCAUAAGAAAACUGAUUCUUGGUGCUUAGCCAGUUUUCAUCUUUAACAAAUGUAAACUUUUGUGUGUCUUUGCAUUCUCAGCAAUAUCUCUGUUUUGGUUAUGGUACUGUAUCUUUUUACUAUUUUCCCUUUUAUUUUUUCCUUGCUUAAUUCCA